AGUAGUUGCCCGGUCGUUGUCACGGGCGUAGCUGGAUGCUGGAUGAUUUUAAUCAAAAGGGUGGAUGCCACCUCGUUGUUGCAAUUACAUUCAACGCAGCAACGAACGUGGCUGUUGGGGUUAUCGUAUUGUCGAAACUAUAUAUAGCCAUAUAAUUAUUAUUUGUUUGAUAAAUUAAUUGAACUUGAAUAAAUUAUAAAACUAUAAAAUACAAAUAAAAGUUUAAAUAAAAAAAAAUUAAAAAGAUCUGUAUUAUUAAUAAUAAUAAUUAUAUAUAAUUAUUAAAAAUAAAAAAAAUAAAUAAAAUAAAAAAACUAAAUUUUCAAAUAGAUAUUUAUUUAUAAUUUUUUUUUCUUUUUUUUUUUUUUUUAAAAAUUAUCCAUCUUAAAGUGUUGAAAAUAUAAUAGUGAAAGAAAAAAAAAAGACUUGGAAAAACGCCACGUCGUUUCUGCCGUAUUAUUCGUUGAGUUGUAUCACUGAAUUUAUUUAUUUUCUAAAAAAAAAAAAGCUCAAUAUUUUUUGUGUUGUUUUAUACUCAAGUGUUGUGUUAAUUAUUAAUAAUAAUAUAUAAUAAUAAGUGUGUUGAGUGAAUAAUUAUUUUAUCAAGUGACUUGUGAUUUUAUUUAUAUAUAUUAUUUUGGAAUGAUGCUGUUUAUUCAUACAUGGACCGAUGAGUCCACACUACGACAUAAUGCUAGUAAUUGGAGUGAAAGCGCGACGAGUCGCUAGUCCAAGUAAUGGCGGUGACGUGGCGGUGGGAGCAGCGAAAGCACUGCCAUAUCAUUCCACUCGAGCCUUUGUCAUACACAAAGGGAAACACGAAAAAGGCUGCUGACAAGCGAAAAAAAAUUGUUUGGAGUGCAAGGAAGCAAGUCAUGAUCACGAGGAUGUGGAAUUGUUGUUGGACGAACUGUA